rnacentral:rRNA from 1 species
CUGGCGACCGGCGCACGGGUGAGUAACACGUAUCCAACCUGCCGAUAACUCGGGGAUAGCCUUUCGAAAGAAAGAUUAAUACCCGAUAGCAUAAUGAUUCCGCAUGGUUUCAUUAUUAAAGGAUUCCGGUAAAGGAUGGGGAUGCGUUCCAUUAGGUUGUUGGUGAGGUAACGGCUCACCAAGCCUUCGAUGGAUAGGGGUUCUGAGAGGAAGGUCCCCCACAUUGGAACUGAGACACGGUCCAA